UACGUAGGGGGCGAGCGUUGUCCGGAUUUAUUGGGCGUAAAGGGCUCGUAGGCGGUUUGUCGCGUCGGGAGUGAAAACACCGGGCUUAACUCGGUGCUUGCUUUCGAUACGGGCAGACUAGAGGUAUUCAGGGGAGAACGGAAUUCCUGGUGUAGCGGUGAAAUGCGCAGAUAUCAGGAGGAACACCGGUGGCGAAGGCGGUUCUCUGGGAAUAUCCUGACGCUGAGGAGCGAAAGUGUGGGGAGCGAACAGG
rnacentral:rRNA from 1 species